AUUGAACGCUGGCGGCAGGCUUAACACAUGCAAGUCGAGCGGGGGAGGUUGCUUCGGUAACUGACCUAGCGGCGGACGGGUGAGUAAUGCUUAGGAAUCUGCCUAUUAGUGGGGGACAACAUUCCGAAAGGGAUGCUAAUACCGCAUACGCCCUACGGGGGAAAGCAGGGGAUCUUCGGACCUUGCGCUAAUAGAUGAGCCUAAGUCGGAUUGGCUAGUUGGUGGGGUAAAGGCCUACCAAGGCGACGAUCUGUAGCGGGUCUGAGAGGAUGAUCCGCCACACUGGGACUGAGACACGGCCCAGACUCCUACGGGAGGCAGCAGUGGGGAAUAUUGGACAAUGGGCGGAAGCCUGAUCCAGCCAUGCCGCGUGUGUGAGGAAGGCCUUUUGGUUGUAAAGCACUUUAAGCGAGGAGGAGGCUCUUAAGGUUAAUACCCUUGAUGAGUGGACGUUACUCGCAGAAUAAGCACCGGCUAACUCUGUGCCAGCCGCCGCGGUAAGAC
rnacentral:rRNA from 1 species